CUACGGGGCGCAGCAGUGGGGAAUAUUGCACAAUGGGCGAAAGCCUGAUGCAGCAACGCCGCGUGAGUGAAGAAGGCCUUCGGGUCGUAAAACUCUUUUCUUGGGGAAGAACAGAUGACGGUACCCAAGGAAUAAGCCCCGGCUAAUUACGUGCCAGCAGCCGCGGUAAUACGUAAGGGGCAAGCGUUAUCCGGAAUCACUGGGCGUAAAGGGUGCGUAGGUGGUCCUGUAAGUCAGAAGUGAAAGGCUACGGCUUAACCGUAGUAAGCUUUUGAAACUGUGGGACUUGAGUGCAGGAGAGGAAAGUGGAAUUCCUAGUGUAGCGGUGAAAUGCGUAGAUAUUAGGAGGAACACCAGUGGCGAAGGCGACUUUCUGGACUGUAACUGACACUGAGGCACGAAAGCGUGGGGAGCAAACAGGAUUAGAUACCCUCGUAGUC
rnacentral:rRNA from 1 species